rnacentral:rRNA from 1 species
UGAAUACGAGACGCUACAGCGUCGAAGCAGUCUAUGUCAUACUUCCAAGAAAAGCUUGCACUGUCAUAAACAAAUAAUGCCUGUACCAUAACCGACACAGGUGGGUAGGUAGAGUAUACUAAGGGGCGCGAGAUAACUCUCUCUAAGGAACUCGGCAAAAUGACUCCGUAACUUCGGGAGAAGGAGUGCCUUAUUUAUAAGGUUGCAAUAACAAGAUCCAAGCAACUGUUUAUCAAAAACACAGGUCUCCGCUAAGUCGUAAGACGAUGUAUGGGGGCUGACGCCUGCCCAGUGCCAGAAGGUUAAAGAAGUUGGUUAGCAUUAGCGAAGCUGAUAACUGAAGCCCUGGUGAACGGCGGCCGUAACAAUAACGGUCCUAAGGUAGCGAAAUUCCUUGUCGGGUAAGUUCCGACCCGCACGAAAGGCGUAAUGAUUUGGAUACUGUCUCAGAGAGGGGCUCGGUGAAAUAGACUUGUCUGUGAAGAUGCGGACUACCUGCACCAGGACAGAAAGACCCUAUGAAGCUUUACUGUAACUUGAAAUUGAAAUUGGACUUUAUUUGCGCAGUAUAGGUGGGAGGCAUUGAUAAUAUUCUUGCGGGAAUGUUGGAGCCAUCAGUGAGAUACCACUCUUGUAAUGUUAGAUUUCUAACUUUGGAUCAUUAUCUGGUCAAAGGACAGUUUCAGGCGGGCAGUUUGACUGGGGCGGUCGCCUCCUAAAUGGUAACGGAGGCGCACAAAGGUUUCCUCUGAACGGGUAGAAAUCGUAUCUAGAGUGUAAAGGCAUAAGGAAGCUUGACUGUGAGACCUACAAGUCGAGCAGGGACGAAAGUCGGUCUUAGUGAUCUGACGGUGCUGAGUGGAAAGGCCGUCACUCAACGGAUAAAAGUUACUCUAGGAUAACAGGCUGAUCUCCCCCAAGAGUUCACAUCGACGGGGAGGUUUGGCACCUCGAUGUCGGCUCAUCGCAUCCUGGGGCGGUAGUACGUCCCAAGGGUUGGGCUGUUCGCCCAUGAAAGCGGUUCGCGAGCUGGGUUCAGAACGUCGUGAGACAGUUCGGUCCAUAUCCGGUGUAGGCGUUAGAAUAUUGAGAGGAGCCUUCUUUAGUACGAGAGGACCGAGAAGGACAUACCUCUGGUGUACCAGUUAUCGUGCCAACGGUAAACGCUGGGUAGCUAUGUAUGGAGAGGAUAACCGCUGAAAGCAUCUAAGUGGGAAGCCCACCUCAAGAUAAG